rnacentral:rRNA from 1 species
CCUACGGGAGGCUGCAGUAGGGAAUCUUCGGCAAUGGGGGGAACCCUGACCGAGCGAUACCGCGUGAAUGAAGAAAUACUUCGGUAUGUAAAGUUCUUUUAUAGAGGAUGAAUGACAUAUGUAGGAAAUGACAUAUGUAUGACAGUACUUUAGGAAUAAGCCCCGGCUAACUAUGUGCCAGCAGCCGCGGUAAUACAUAGGGGGCAAGCGUUAUCCGGAAUUAUUGGGCGUAAAGGGUGCGUAGGCGGCCAUUUAAGUUUGAGGUGUAAGUUCAAGGCUCAACCUUGUGAUGCUUCAAAAACUGGAUGGCUUGAGAGAGGUAGAGGCAAGUGGAAUUCCAUGUGUAGCGGUAAAAUGCGUAAAUAUAUGGAGGAACACCAGUGGCGAAGGCGGCUUGCUGGGCCUCGUCUGACGCUGAGGCACGAAAGCGUGGGGAGCAAACAGGAUUAGAUACCCUGGUAGUC